rnacentral:rRNA from 1 species
CUGGCUCAGGAUGAACGCUAGCUACAGGCUUAACACAUGCAAGUCGAGGGGCAGCAUGGGAUAGCUUGCUAUUCAGAUGGCGACCGGCGCACGGGUGAGUAACGCGUAUCCAACCUUCCUGCCAGUAGGGAACAGCCCGGCGAAAGUCGGAUUAAUGCCCUAUGUUCUUCAAUGCGGACAUCUAAGUUGAAGGAAAGAUUCAUCGCUGGCAGAUGGGGAUGCGUCCGAUUAGCUUGCCGGCGGGGUAACGGCCCACCGGGGCGACGAUCGGUAGGGGUUCUGAGAGGAAGGUCCCCCACACUGGUACUGAGACACGGACCAGACUCCUACGGGAGGCAGCAGUGAGGAAUAUUGGUCAAUGGGCGUAAGCCUGAACCAGCCAAGUAGCGUGCAGGAUGACGGCCCUACGGGUUGUAAACUGCUUUUAUGCGGGGAUAAAGUCACCCACGUGUGGGUGUUUGCAGGUACCGCAUGAAUAAGGACCGGCUAAUUCCGUGCCAGCCGCCGC